UACGAAGGGGGCUAGCGUUGCUCAGAAUCACUGGGCGUAAAGCGCCCGUAGGCGGAUCUUUAAGUCAGGGGUGAAAUCCUGGAGCUCAACUCCAGAACUGCCUUUGAUACUGGGGAUCUCGAGUCCGGGAGAGGUGAGUGGAACUGCGAGUGUAGAGGUGAAAUUCGUAGAUAUUCGCAAGAACACCAGUGGCGAAGGCGGCUCACUGGCCCGGUACUGACGCUGAGGUGCGAAAGCGUGGGGAGCAAACAGG
rnacentral:rRNA from 1 species